AUGCUCACUUCAGCAGCACAUAUAUUACAAUUUCAGCCAUACAGAGAAGAUUAGCAUGGCCCCUGUGCAAGGAUCACACGCAAAUUCAUGAAGUGUUCCAUAUUUUU
rnacentral:snRNA from 1 species